rnacentral:ncRNA from 10 species
AAUAUGCAUUAAGAGUGAGAUUAAUUUCUCCUCCAACCUGCCAACUCCGGCAAGGUGGAAAAGUGAUGCGGUUAUUCAACAAUAAAGGAGUAGAAA